rnacentral:tRNA from 1 species
GGGCCUGUAGCUCAGUUGGUUAGAGCGCGCGCUUGAUAAGCGUGAGGUCACAGGUUCAAGUCCUGUCUGGCCCACCA